AACGCACGAGACCUGCGGACCUGCGGAGGGAUCAUUAUAGAGUUUUUAACUCCCAAACCCAUGUGAACUUACCUUUGUUGCCUCGGCGGAGCCUACCCGGUACCUACCCUGUAGCGCCCCGCCGGUGGACUUCUAAACUAUUGUUAUUUUAAUGAUAUCUGAGAGUCUUAUUUUAAUAAGUCAAAACUUUCAGCAACGGAUCUCU
rnacentral:misc_RNA from 1 species